GCUGUUAUAGCUCAGUUGGUUAGAGCGCUCGUCUGAUAAGCGGGAGGCAAUAGAUUUAAAUCCAUUGAACAACA
rnacentral:tRNA from 1 species